rnacentral:rRNA from 1 species
CUCGUAGUGACCUGCGGAGGAUCAUUAUCAAAUAGGCCUGGAAGAAAUUCCUAGCGUCUAUAUCCCCUGAUUAAAUACCACUGUUGCUUUGGCGUUCCGGGCCCCGCCCCGGCGGUCAGCGUCACGCUGCUCGCCGAGUGUCCGUCAAAGACCCAACUAAACUCGUCCUAAUUAUUCCGUCUGAGUCUAUACACAAUAGCUAAAACUUUCAACAACGGAUCUCUUGGUUCUCGCAUCGAUGAAGAACGCAGCGAAAUGCGAUAAGUAAUGUGAAUUGCAGAAAUCGUGAAUCAUCGAAUCUUUGAACGCACAUUGCGCCCUCUGGUAUUCCGGGGGGCAUGCCUGUUCGAGCGUCAUUACAACCUCAAGCUCAGCUUGGUAUUGGUGGCUCGCCCCCCCGGGGGCGUCCCCGAAAAUCAGCGGCGUAGCUGCCCGGCUCCUAAGCGUAGUAAUUUUCUUCUCGCUUCGGGGGUUUCGGGUGGACUGCUGCCGGACAACCCACUAUUUUCUCAGUGUUGACCUCGGAUCAGGUAGGGAUACCCGCUGAACUUAA